rnacentral:rRNA from 1 species
UACGUAGGGUGCAAGCGUUAUCCGGAAUUAUUGGGCGUAAAGAGCUCGUAGGCGGUUUGUCGCGUCUGCUGUGAAAACUGGAGGCUCAACCUCCAGCCUGCAGUGGGUACGGGCAGACUAGAGUGCGGUAGGGGAGAUUGGAAUUCCUGGUGUAGCGGUGAAAUGCGCAGAUAUCAGGAGGAACACCGGUGGCGAAGGCGGGUCUCUGGGCCGGAACUGACGCUGAGGAGCGAAAGCGUGGGGAGCGAACAGG